AUGAAUGGGGCUAAAAAGAUUCAGCAAUACCGCCCCAUAUGCCUCUUGAGAUGUCCUUAUAAGCUUAUAACUAAAGUGUUAGAUAAUCGGGUAGCUAUUUUUGCUGAUAAGCUGAUUAGUAGACAUCAAAAUGCUUUCAUUAAGCACAGAAAUAUCAUGGAUGGCAUCCUAACACUACAUGAGGUGAUGCACCACACUCAUCAUAAGAAAAGGGUGGGGGUUGUAUUGAAACUAGACUUUGAAAAGGCCUAUGAUAAAAUUAAUUGGGACUUUCUCCUUGAUUGUCACCGAGAUCGUGGAUUCGGGCCUACUUGGUGUGGGUGGAUUAAAAAAGUUCUUUGCAAUGGAACGGUUAGUAUUAAGCUCAAUAAUAAGGUGGGCCCGUAUUUCCAGAGUUAUAAAGGGGUACGACAAGGCGACCCAUUCUCACCUUUCCAGUUUAAUUUGGUUGUGGAAGUUCUUUCAAAAAUGGUUCGUAAUGCUCAAAAAGAGAAGUUGAUUACUGGGCUGGCACCUGAUCCCAUUGAAGAUGGGGUGGCGAUCCUCCAGUAUGCUGAUGAUACAGUAAUUUGUUUUGAACAUAAUGAGGAGGCCGCUGUUAAUCUGAAACUUCUCCUUUAUAUGUUCGAGCUUAUGUCGGGGCUCAAAAUUAAUUUCCUGAAAAGUGAGAUACUUUGCAUUGGGGGGGACAAUGAUACUUUGAGCUUUUAUGCUGAGCUUUUUAAUUGCCAAAUAGGUCACUUCCCAAUGAAAUAUCUGGGAGUGUCAGUCAGUUACUCGACGCUUCGUAACCUACACUGGAUCUAG
rnacentral:rRNA from 1 species